rnacentral:rRNA from 1 species
UACGGAGGGUGCGAGCGUUAAUCGGAAUUACUGGGCGUAAAGCGCGCGUAGGCGGUGGGCUAAGUCCGCUGUGAAAGCCCUGGGCUUAACCUGGGAACUGCAGUGGAUACUGGUCGGCUAGAGUGUGGUAGAGGGUGGCGGAAUUUCCGGUGUAGCAGUGAAAUGCGUAGAGAUCGGAAGGAACACCAGUGGCGAAGGCGGCCAUCUGGACCAACACUGACGCUGAGGUGCGAAAGCGUGGGGAG